CCAAGAUCACACAGCCUUUAAGAGGCAGAGCUGAGAUUUGAACUGAGGUCUGUGUAUUUGCAAAGUCUAUGCCUGGGCAAAAAUCUCAGGAGAGAUGGAGUGAGUUGACUCAAACCACCGCGUACUGGUCCCAGACCAAAUGGGGGACAGGCCUCCUGCACAGCCAGGAGCACCCACCCAAGGACCAAGAUCUCAUCUGAGAGUUCUGUGUCUCACCUACCACCUGGGGUGUGGAGUGGGGAAGAACCCAGCCUGGCCUUGGGCUGGGCCACCACCCUGUCUUCCCACACCUGGUCAGCCUGCUCCUUCCCAAAUCAAGCAUGCAGUGUCGCCCAGGCCCUGUGCAGUGGCUCAUGCCUGUAAUCCUAGCACUUUGGGAGGCUGAGGCCAGAGGCUUGCUUGAGGACAGGAGGUGGAGAGCAGCCUGGGCAACACAGCAAAACCCAAGACGUAAUCUCUAAAAAAAAAUUUUAAGCCGGGCACGGUGGCUCAUGCCUGUAAUUUCAGAACUUUGGGAGGCCGAGGCGGGCAGAUCAUGAGGUCAGGAGUUCAAGACCAGCCUGACCAACAUGGUAAAACCCCAUCUCUACUAAAAAUACAAAAAUUAGCCGGGCGUAGUGGUGCGUGCCUGUAAUCCCAGCUACUCAGGAGGCUGAGGCAAGAGAAUCACUUGAACCCGGGAGGCAGAGGUUGCAGUGAGCUGAAAUCGUGCCACUGAACUCCAGCCUGGCAACAGAGUGAGACUCCAUCUCGAAACAAACAAACAAACAAAAAGAAAUAAAAGAAAAAAAGAGAAAGAAAAAGAGCAUCCGGGCACAGUGGCUCACGCCUGUAAUUCCAGCACUUUGGAAGACGGAGACAGGAGGAUCACCUGAGGUCAGGGGUUCGAAACCAGCCUGACCAACAUCUCUACUAAAAAUAUAAAAUUAGCCAGGUAUGGUGGUGCAUGCCUGUAAUCCAGCUACUUGGAAGGGUGAGGCAGAGGAAUUGCUUGAACCUGGGAGGCAGAGGUUGCAGUGAGCCGAGAUCCCGCCACUGCACUCCAGCCUGGGCGACAGAGCAAGACUCCGUCUCAAAAAAAAAAAAAAAAAAAAAAAAAAAAAAAAAAAGAAAUUUACAAACCCUCCAGCUUUUUAAGGGUUUCAUUUUAUUAAUUAAAAACAAGAUCAGACACAUCUGCAGUCUGGAUUCAACCAGCAGGCUGCCAAUCUGUCACCACUGGCAUAACUGACCAAGUGACAGUAGCAAUGCCGGGCGUGGUGGCACAUGCCUGCGGUCCCAGCUACUCAGGAGGCUGAGGAGGGAGGAUCGCUUGAGCCCAGGAGUUCGAGAGUUUGAGGCCAACCUGGGCAACAUAGUGCAACCCUAUCUCAAGAAAAAAAAGCAAGGUGCUAGGCCAGGUACGGUGGCUAACACCUGUAAUCCCAGCACUUCGGGAGGCUGAGGCGGGUAGAUCAUGAGGUCAGGAGAUCGAGACCAUCCUGGCUAACACAGUGAAACCCCAUCUCUACUAAAAAUACACAAAAUUAGCUGGGUGUCGUGGCGGGAGCUUGUAGUCCCAGCUACUUGGAAGGCUGAGGCAGGAGAAUGGCAUGAACCCGGAGGUGGAGCUUGCAGUGAGCCAAGAUCGUGCCACUGCAUUCCAGCCUGGGUGACAGAGCAAGACUCCAUCUCAAAAAAAAAAAAAAAAAAAAAAAAAAAAAAAAAAAAGCCAGGUGCUGAGAAAUGCUUCAUGAUCAUCUAAUGCUUUGCUAGCCCUAUAAGGUAGAUGAAGGGCUGUUGUUUGAGAUAUUUAAUGUCAAACAAAUAAAAUUAAAAAAUGACAAAUGGAAUCUAAUCAGGGUUGCCGAUCUGACAUCUAGUUUAAAGGAAGUUCAGAGGGCAUAGGAAGAAAUUAAAUUUGCAGGAAGAAAUUCUGCAAAUCAGAUCAAAUUCAGGAUGAGGGAUAUUCCAUAGGAUAGGUAACUGAUCCAGUCCUUCAAAAGUCUUCAGUGCCCCCCCUCCCCCCGACACACACACACACAAGGUGAUGGGGAAUAAGAGUCGUUCAGAUUAAAGAAGGCUGAAAUGAUAUAAUUACCAAAUGCACUGUGAGGAUCGUUUUAGGACGCUGAUUUGAAUUAAUCAAUUCUAACAGGUCGUUUCAUAAACAAGUAGGGAAAUUUGAAUAUAGACUGAUGUCUAACU
rnacentral:lncRNA from 1 species